AACGUAGGUAACCUGCCCAUGUGUCCGGGAUAACUGCUGGAAACGGUAGCUAAAACCGGAUAGGUAUACAGAGCGCAUGCUCAGUAUAUUAAAGCGCCCAUCAAGGCGUGAACAUGGAUGGACCUGCGGCGCAUUAGCUAGUUGGUGAGGUAACGGCCCACCAAGGCGAUGAUGCGUAGCCGGCCUGAGAGGGUAAACGGCCACAUUGGAACUGAGACACGGCCCAA
rnacentral:rRNA from 1 species